CAGCCGCCGCGGGAAUACGUAGGGUGCAUGCGUUAAUCGGAAUUACUGGGCGUAAAGCGUGCGCAGGCGGUUUGUUAAGACAGAUGUGAAGUCCCCGGGCUCAACCUGGGAACUGCAUUUGUGACUGGCAAGCUAGAGUGUGGCAGAGGGGGGUGGAAUUCCGCGUGUAGCAGUGAAAUGCGUAGAUAUGCGGAGGAACACCGAUGGCGAAGGCAGCCCCCUGGGCCAACACUGACGCUCAUGCACGAAAGCGUGGGGAGCAAACAGGAUUAGAUACCCCCGUAGUCCCUGUCUCUUAUAC
rnacentral:rRNA from 1 species